rnacentral:rRNA from 1 species
AUUGAACGCUGGCGGCAUGCUUUACACAUGCAAGUCGAACGGCAGCGCGGGCUUCGGCCUGGCGGCGAGUGGCGAACGGGUGAGUAAUACAUCGGAACGUGCCCAGCAGUGGGGGAUAGCUCGGCGAAAGCCGGAUUAAUACCGCAUACGACCUGAGGGUGAAAGCGGGGGAUCUUCGGACCUCGCGCUAUUGGAGCGGCCGAUGGCAGAUUAGCUAGUUGGUGGGGUAAAGGCCUACCAAGGCGACGAUCUGUAGCUGGUCUGAGGGGACGACCAGCCACACUGGGACUGAGACACGGCCCAGACUCCUACGGGAGGCAGCAGUGGGGAAUUUUGGACAAUGGGCGAAAGCCUGAUCCAGCAAUGCCGCGUGUGUGAUGAAGGCCUUCGGGUUGUAAAGCACUUUUGGCGGGAACGAAAAGGACUGUGCCAAUACCACGGUUCGAUGACGGUACCCGCAGAAUAAGCACCGGCUAACUACGUG